UGGCAUUCUCCCUGUGAGUGCAUUGCUGCAUCUUCUAUGUGUCCAAAUUUGCCUCUUUUAUAAGGACACCAGUGACUGGCUUAGGGCCCAGCCUAAGCAAGUAUGAUCUCAUCUUGAUUGUAUCUGCAAAGACCCGAUUUCCAAAUAAGAGCCUGUUCACAGGUGCCAGGGGUUUGGACUUGACAUCUCUUUUUAGUGGACACAGUUACACCCACUACAGCUGCUACCAUCAAAAAAGAAUGAAACCAGACAUUAUUACAUGCCUCCUGAUGACAGAAACCAGCACCAUCUACAAUCUUGUCAAAAGGACCAAAGUGAGGCAGGAGAAUAGGGUCUAGAGGCAGGGAACCUAAGGCUGAUUUGCACUGACUUUCUAGAACUGAAUCAAAAGGAAAACCCCAAUUUUCCACACCCAAGUAACAAGAGAACAAAAGCUCCUCCCUUUGCCACCACCCCCUUUUCUAUAUCGUAGAUGAGAAAUGGAAAGUAGCUCUGAUUGGUCCCCUCCUGCAACCAAUCAGACUGGUCACGGGUCUAGUCUUCAUUUGCAUAUGGGUAUAACUUUGUAACUUCACUUCAGCCUCUGAUUGGUCCCCUCCCACAACCAACCAGGUGUUUGCAUAAGGUGUAAUUUCGUAACUUCAGUUCAGCCUGUAGUUGGUCGCCUUGUGCAACCAAUCAGACUGGUUGCAGGUCGCUACUUCAUUUACACAGGGUGUAAACCAGGUAACCAAUGGGAAACCCCUCAAGGCUAUUUAAACCCCAGAAAAUUCUGUAACCAGCACUCUUGAGUGGCUUCCUGGAGGCCGCUCCCACUCUGUGAAGUGCACUUUCAUUUCGAACCUAGAUGACUCGUAAUCAAGACCCUCUACUGGUAAUGAAGGCAGAGUCCGAUGCAGCCUCCGGUUCCAGCUGCCCCUUGCCAGGAAGUGCGGAGGACAGAGGAACAUGGUAGCACCCCGCAGAGGCCUCAGCAAAGCCUCAAGGAUGGCAUCUCUACAGCCAGAUGUGGGGCUCGUCAUCAGAUAAAGCUUGAGGAAAAGAAAAGCAUGGGCAGGAAACCAAGUUCCCUCUCUCGAUGUGGGUGGUGGUUUCAGGGAUGUCUGCCUUAUCAUAAUCCAUUAAGCCAAAUAUUUGUUAGUGUAGUUUUCUGUGUGUGUGUUUUACUUACAAUGAAAAGAUUUCAAAAGUUAACUAGGGAACUGGUUUUCUCAAGGAGGGAAAAGGGAAGACAAAUAAUAAAAACAUUUAAAAAUUUUUAAG
rnacentral:lncRNA from 10 species